rnacentral:tRNA from 1 species
GCUCUCGUGGUCCAGCGGCCGAGGACACCGCCAGCCCCGGUGGCGGUGGCGCGGGUUCGAAUCCCGCCGAGAGCACCA